GGGCAUUUGAAAAUGACCAAAAAAUAUAAUGAGAAGAAAUUAGCCUGACUAGGGUGGGAGCAGGAAGAAGAAACAUAUCAUCUUCUGUGAAAGAGCCUUGCAAAUAAGAAAACGGGCCAGGGACAAAGUGCAGGAGGAAAGGCUAUCACGAUGGCUCAGAGGCUUGAAAAGAGCUCAGGAUCGGACCAUGUUCUCUGAUAUGGGACAGGCAGAGCCCCGUGAAUGAGCCAACAGGAUGGAAGUGGAGCGAUGCCAGCCCCAUAGAGGCCUGGCCCAGAGACCCUCCUGCACAAUUCUCUACACUCUCUUUCCUUGGUGGUGCCUCCCCCUGGUGUGGAGUGACCUUGGGGGCCACGUGUGGGAGAGGAAGAGGGCAGAGCCCCUGGCAGGUAGCCAAGGUCUCUCAUCAACAAGCCAAUUAACUUUUAUGUGCACGAGAAAUAAGCCUCUAUUCUACCGCCAAUGCAGAGUGGGUAGGAGGUGCUUGAUAAACGGAGCCACUUUCCUUCAUCAUGUUAAGGAUGUUGCAGGUCAGCCCUCUCCUGUGGGGCAUCACUGGCCUCUAGGGAUGGAAGGAAAUGCUUCCCUUCUCCAGCCACACUGGAUCCUGAGCGUCCCCCUCUCUUUCCACUGACCUCCCCGGACGGAUGGUAAGGGGCUCAUCCAUGCUGUCCUCCACCCUAGACUGUGGCCCUCUGAAAGUCAAGGCUGUGACUGGCCAUCCAUCUGUCUCAGCAUCCAGCACAGGGAACAAACAGAAAUGUUCAUAGGAGGUUUGCGCUGGGGGCAGCAAGUUCCCCAUCAUGUGAAGGAGGCAAGGCCGCAAAGGGGGCUCCUGACCGAGGCUGGACUAGAGGACAUGGGACUCCCUUCUCAGCCUGGAGUCUUAGAGCUUAGUUGACCACAGGCCAGGUUCUUAGCAGAGCCCCAUGGGCUAACCAUGAGCUUCUUACUCCUGAACAAACAUGGGGGUGAGCCCUGGGAAGCUGCUGUAGGCUCUGGGCCCAGGCAAGCUUCUCCCCCUGACUCCAGCCAGCAAGAGCUUGGAGACUCUGAGAGGCCUCCGGAAAAAGCUCAAGGGCUCAGGCCGUUUCUGGCCUUGCUCUGCCUGCACUGGCCAUGGGACCUUGGACUCACUGCCCAUUCUGAGCCUCAGUACAAACCCCCAUUUGUGGAUGCGAGAUGCCACCAAGACCAGGACUCUGAAAUGCUCCAUGCAGGCCACAUGGAAGGCACUGACCACACGUGAGCCAUUAUCUAUUUGCGUUUCUCCCAGGAAGGGAUCCCACAUGGGGAGAGACCCUGGAGAUACCUCUGGCCUGAGUGCUCCACUGGUGUCCAUCCACGUCUGGAAAGCUGCCCCAAGAUCAUCUUGUUGCUGGGCAAGGAAAAGACAGGGUAUGUAUUGUGGCCCCCCAGGGUUCUGCACACCCAUCAAGCAGGAGCCCCAGGGCCACAUUCCCUGGCAGGAUCUUGGCCAAGUCAUAUGCCCUCUGCAGAACUCUCGGUCCUUCCUCUCUUUGCAGACAGUCAAAGCCGACCCUGCCAUUCCCUUUCCCUAGGUACUAAUAGCUCCCCAUUGCCCUCAGGAUUAAGUUCAAACUCCUCAACAUGGUUAUAAGACCCAGUUUGAACACUGUGGUCUUGAGCCAUGUCUCUUUCCUCUCCCUCAGAUGUGCUCUGGCACCAGCUGCACUAUAGUACUUCUAAGUUCCUAAAUGCCAUGCUCCAUCUAGCCGUGGGGCCUUUGCACAUGCUGUUCUCAUUGCCUGGAGGACUUCUCCCUCCCUUCAAUGCACCAUCUGGCUAUCUCCUAUACCAGUGGUUCUCAAGGAGAGGCAACGAUGCCCCCCAGGGGAUAUUUGGCAAUACCUGGAGACAGUUUGGUUGUUCAAGCUGGGGGAGGGGGUACUACUUGCAUCUCAUGGUUAGAGGCCAGGAAUUCUGCUAAACAUCCUCCAGGACAGUCACUCACAGCUAAUAAUUAUGCAAAUGUCAGUUGCACUGUAUCUCAGAAAACCUGCCCUGGACUCAUCCUAUAGAUGUCAGUUGCGAUGGGAAGCCUCUCCCGAAGCUUCUGACUCCGGACUAAGAAGAGGGAGGCCCCCUUUCUCUAUGCCCCCAGUCCCCGUGUUUCUCCUUUGGCUCGCACUUUAAUGGUCUAAUAUAACUUUGCACCCCCAACCCUACCACCGGGCUUGGCAGAGACAUAGCUGUGGUCUUGCCAUGAAAACAGCAAAAGCUGAGGCCUGGGGUCCAGAACCGGGGACUCUGGGGCUACUCCUCAGGGUCAAAUCCCAGACCUGCCACUUACUAACUGCAUAAUCUGGGGAAAGCUGCUUAACUCUUUUCCUCAGUUCUUUCAUCUUGAAAAUGGACCUGAUAAUAAAACUCCCUCAUAAGAAUUGCUGAAAGGAACACAUGAGUGAAUACAUGAAAAGCACCUGUAGCCCGGGCACAGUGGCUCACGCCUGUAAUCCCAGCACUUUGGGAGGCCGAGGCGGGUGGAUGGCUUGAGGUCAGGAGUUCAAA